CCUACGGGCGGCUGCAGUGGGGAAUAUUGCACAAUGGGCACAAGCCUGAUGCAGCCAUGCCGCGUGUGUGAAGAAGGCCUUCGGGUUGUAAAGCACUUUCAGCGGGGAGGAAGGCGUUAAGGUUAAUAACCUCGGCGAUUGACGUUACCCGCAGAAGAAGCACCGGCUAACUCCGUGCCAGCAGCCGCGGUAAUACGGAGGGUGCAAGCGUUAAUCGGAAUUACUGGGCGUAAAGCGCACGCAGGCGGUCUGUCAAGUCGGAUGUGAAAUCCCCGGGCUCAACCUGGGAACUGCAUUCGAAACUGGCAGGCUAGAGUCUUGUAGAGGGGGGUAGAAUUCCAGGUGUAGCGGUGAAAUGCGUAGAGAUCUGGAGGAAUACCGGUGGCGAAGGCGGCCCCCUGGACAAAGACUGACGCUCAGGUGCGAAAGCGUGGGGAGCAAACCGGAUUAGAUACCCUGGUAGUC
rnacentral:rRNA from 1 species